GGCGAGUUUGUUUAGGUUCAGUUUGUACAGUUACUGUUCGUCGUUAUGCCAUACGGUCAUGAUUUUGUCUGUGGUUAAAUCCGUUUCUUAGUGUUAUUGUAUGUAAGUGGUAGGUAUAAACACAUAGCCCAUCUUUGCGGCCGAGACAUGUGCUUUUGUGUGUUUGUGUAUUAAAACGUAUGGCCUGUUCUGUGUUUAUUUACUUGGCAGCUGUGUUUACAUCUUCAUUUUGUUGUGUUUUGUCUUGUGUGUGUAUCAGGCCACCCGCGGGAGCUGACGGAGGAAGAGUAACAGCAGGUUUUGCACUCGGAGAAGUUCCUCAUCUUAUUCGCCUGCAGUAUUUGUGCGAUGGAAAGAGCUUUAGCUGAGGACUCCAACAUCUUCUUCGACUACAGCGGACAAGUCCCGGAGGUUAAAGGGAGACCUGCAGGGUGGCUCCAGUCUCUCUCAAUUGUCUGUUCUAUGAUGAGCACUGGUCAAAGCAUCGAGUCAUCACCUGUCUGGACUGGUCCCCUCAGGUAGACUGACCUCCCUCUCUGACCUCCUGUAUGUGUCAGCACCUGUUCAUUUAAAAGGGAGAAUCCUCCCAUUCUUUGUCUCUGAGUCAGCUUUAUCAUCCUCUCCUCUGUUCUCUCUCUCAUCUUUCUCCUGCCUUUACUCUCUUCUCUUCAUAUUUCCAGUACCCUGAGCUCUUUGUGGCCUCCUACAACAACAACGAAGACACUCCUUAGAGCCAGACGGUGUGGCUUUGGUGUGGAAUAUGAAAUGGAAGAAGACCACACCAGAGUACAUCUUCCAAUGCCAGACUCUCUGCUUCAGGCAGUUUCAGAUAGCCACUCCUUUUCAGACGGUUGUGGAAUAUUUCUGAGGUGGUUUGGGUUUGUUUUGGGCUCUGUGUGGUGUGAUCUUGGCUCUCUGAUCCCUGCUGUUCUUUUGGGCCCAUCAUCACAGCAGGCCAAGUUCGCCAGUAACAUCACAUGACCUUUUAAAGUGGGCUGCCUCUCGCCACAUAAAGGGAACACCCCAAAAAACUGCUCACCGAUACUGCCAGCCCUCAACUGCAUCACCUACAUUUUACUGAUAUCAUUUAUAUUUUACCCAGGAUGACUCUAUGUGAACCCCUGCUGGAUGCCUGAGGCUCACUGAAUAGAGGUUGGCACAGAGGAAGAUGUGUUCGCAGGAGCUUGGAGAGAUGCCCGCUCUGCAUAAUGCUGGUGGAUGGAGUUGCAUGUGCUCAUAAAGCUGAGUGUAGAAAGGCUUCAAAACCACUCACAGCUUUUGAAACAGGAAGAGCAGAGACCUCCGGUCCACUAUGGUUUUACUGCCUACUCAUCAGCAUUCGUCCGCAGAAAUCGAUUUCAUAGAAAAUUCAAAUGGAUUUUAAAAGUUGUAUCCGACUGAGGUCUAAUUAUUCUGUAACCAGCCUAAUUAUACAGGUCUUCCUAAAGAUUAAUUAGUAUUAUUCGUUCAGGUGAUCCACUGACUAGUCAAUUUUAAAAUUGUGUAGCACCACUAACUGUAGACCAAAAGUAAAGGUUUUUAGAAUUUAUUUUGAAAUCAAGUGUUUGCAAACAGAAUUUUGAACAGCUGUAGUUUAAAGCUAUAACAAGAAAUAAAUGAUCUUUAGUAAACCUUGAACUGAACCAGAAACAAUUGGCAUGUUUAGUUGUUGAAACUGAAUGAAAUAAAUCUAGUUUGAGGAGGAACCAAUUCAUUUUAUAAGUCCACUGCAAAUAUGAAAUUGAGCAUAAAUCUGCAUUUCAUCCAAAUUUGUCUAUGCAAAGAAUACUGUUCAUUUAUAUUGAUUAGGACAUGGAUGUUCUUUACUUUUGUCCUAAGGUAAUAGAGAGAGAGAGAGAGAGAGAGAGAGAGAGAGAGAGAGAGGGAGAGGGAGAGAAGUAGUCGCAAAAACUGGCUUCUCCUCCAUUGUUCUCUAAAACGGAGAUAUGGUAUUACACGGCCUGUGCCAGUAACCACAGAGUGACAAAAUCUGUGGGGUGCUGUUUCAGAAAAAAAAGAGGUAGGGAGCGAAGGAUGCUGGUGGAAGACAGAGGAGUGCAUCUGGAGCUGAUAAGCUUUGCUGAGAACCACAUGAUUGUGGUGCUUCAGGAGGAGGCGGCACUGAAUGUACAGUCUGUUACACAGUCAUCUCCUCCCUGACAAAUGGCUCCAACUUUUUUUUCCUCUUUUCCCUUUCGGCCCACAAAAAGAGGGGCAACAAAGAAGGGAGUGUUCAUCAUGCCAUCUCUCCUCACGGGGUUAGUCCUGUGGAUUAUCCCAUACUGACCCAUUCCCAUUGAUAUUAUCAUGUCCCAUGCACUUAGUCCAAGUGAAACGCAUUAAACUGCAGGAAAGUGUUGUGGGAUUGUGUUUUCACUUGCAUUUUUCUUUUCAAUUUGACUUUCAUCAGAGUUUCGGGUUGGUAGCCAUCAAGCUGAGCUUGUAAUGAGAAAUAUUCUCAAUUAAAUCAGCGAAAUGACUGCAUUGUCAGAAACCUGGAAUAGUGAAAUUUGAACUCAGUUGGGAACAACCAACAGGAAAUUUCCUUACACUAACUGUACACCCACAAAAAAAAAACUAAUAAGUAACAUUGUGCUACCAUGAUUUAUUGGUACAGUAUAUUCAGUAUAAUAUAGAAAAACCACCUGUAUUUUUUAUUCUUGGGUGCCGGUUGAAGCAGGUCGAUAUCUGAAAAGUACUGAAAAGACAGCCAACCAGUGUAUUGAGACAAAGUGAGCUAAUUCCAGUAGCAAAAGCUUGCUUAAAUAAUGGUGUUUAUGGCUUCCAGUAAAACUAAGGAGAUAGUUUCAGGCAUUGGAGAUAGACAGAUCUUAACCCACGCUCUCCAUAUGGUGUGAAUAUACAGUCUUUUCAUCCCUUUUCCUCUCAGCGUCUUGUGCCUUUGCCAUGUUUAGAUUAUGACUUUAAAGAGAGUUCAAAUACUUGUCAUAUUUAUCUGUGCUUCAUUAUGGAGCAAAAGGUUGCUCUGGAUUUAUGUGGUUACGGUAAUGAGGGAAGUAUACAUCAGAUGUUUUAUAAACUGAGUUUUUCUUAUGACAUGUUACUCAUCAUUAAAGGUCGGUUCACAUCGUGUCAACAGUGUCUAGUGCACUGAACUUUAUGAAGUGAGCACUACUCAAGUCAACGUUAUUUUUUGUACAUGUUUUUUUUUGCGAUUUUCACAUAAUUGCCAACAAGAAAUUGUCAGACAUUAUGAAUGCAUUUUUUUCUUUGAACAGGUACAUUCACACAAAUUAGAUAUUUCAAAACUUAUCCAAUCAAAAGUAAAUUUAUAAUCUGUUAAGAUAAAGACUUCAGCUUAACUUUAAGAACAGAAAACAGACAGAUGACAAGUCAUCAGAGGUUGCUGCAGGACACAGUGAUGAUAUCGCAGCAGAUGAGUCGGAUAAAAACAGAGGCCUGCAGUGUACAGAUAGAGGCCAGAGAUGGCUGCGAUUGGCUGUUGGCUGGACUGCUCUCCUGAGCUGAAGUUUCAGGUUACGAUACUUCAUUAAGUCUCUGAUUAAUGGCUUCAUAGUGGAGUUAUUACCCUCUUGUUGUGGUGACCCCAGCUCAUGUUCAUUAGCCCAGUAAUGAAGCGCUGGUCUGGCGAGCGUGUCCCUGACACAUGACUAUAGGAGAGAGAGAGAGAAAGAGACUUGGUUCAGAGGUCGUCUUGUGGCUCUGAUUGAAAUAGCCGUGUAUUUAAGCAGCAAUGUUCCCCUGUCUCUGUGUUAGUAUUCAGAACUGACUGAUCAUUAAUCACAGAACUGAGAUCCUUUUCCAGCAGUACUGGUAAUCAGACUAAUCAAGACUUGAGUGAAACUUUUCAACCUCUUAAAAGAUACUAAUCAAUUUAUUAACUGAAAUGUUGGCUUUUGUUGUCCAGUGAUUGUAUUAUUGCAGCUGGUUUAGUGCCUUGCUCGUAUCUGCUUUCCAUUUUAUUUUCUACAAUAACAUUGUAGUUAAGGGUGGGAAUCAUAAGAAGUCUAAAACAAUUCUUGGAAAAGGUGACUUAAUGACCACUCAUUUAUUCAGUAUCUGUUGUCUUUUUUAUAUGUGGCAUAAGUGCAAGCCAAUUAUUGGCUUUAACUGUAUUAUAUAAUGCUGAAAUAACAAAAAAUGUGGUGACAUUUAAUUUAUUCUAUUGUAUUUUAUACCACUGAUUAUAGAACUCACAAGUUGUAAGCUGUAUGUGUUUGAGUCACUAAAAAGAACCAAAUGAAAAGAGUCAUGAAUCAGUUGGAAUACACUGGUUGCCAUGUAUGGUUUUGAUUCACCAAAAAGAACCUGCUCAUCAGAAUCAUUUGUUCGCAAAUCGUUUUGGGUGUACGUGCUGUAUGACUUUGAUUCACUAUAAAGAAAAGGUUUAAAAGAGUCAUUUGUUUGGGAAUCAGACUACUCAAUUUGUGCUGUAUGACUUUGAUUCACCAAAAAGAAUUGUAUCAGAGUAAUUUGUUUUUUGAAUUCGAUUCUGAAAACCCUGGUUGCACUCUUUGAUUUUGAUUAAAAAUAACUGAGUUAUUUGCUCAGGAAUAUGACUACUCACUUCAUGCUGCGUGGUUUUGAUGCACUAAAAAGAACCGACUCAAGAGUAAUUUGUUUAGGAAUCAGACUCCUCACUUCUCACUGCAUGGUUUUCAUUCAGAAAACACUCAUGAGAGUCAUUCAAGAAUCAAACUACAUUGAUCACAGAAUGAAUUCUAUAUGAUUUGCAUUGUAGAUUCAGUAGUGGUGUUGCAAUAGCUGCUAGAGUAUUUGUUUAGAAUAAUACAGUUCCAACAACCAUUAAUGAAACACAACAUCUUUCGAUUCCUGUAUGUAAAUGAAU
ensembl:lncRNA